GCUAACUGCAGUCGGACGGUAGCACAGAGAGAUUGGUCUCCCGUGACGAGUGUGGGACAGGUGAGAUAUGUGUGGGGAUCUGUCCCAUAUAGGGGGAUAUCCCCUGUGAACGGUGGCUAUUACCGCAUAUCGUCUCACGACACAAGAGGGGGACCUUCUGGCCUCUCUCUAUCUGAUGAACCCCCAUGGGAUUAUAUAUUAUGCGGGGUAAUGUGCCACCUCUGCGACAAUACCUAUCUGGUCUGAGAGAAUAACACCCCACACUGUAACUGAGACACGGUCCACACUCUUAUAGGAGGCAGCACUGGGGAAUAUUGUGCAAUGUGCGCAAGCCUGAUACACCCAUGUCCCGUGUAUAAAAAAAGCCUUCUCGUUGUAAAGAACUUUCUCCGCGGAGAAAAGCGAUGUGAUUAAUAACCCCGCCAAUAGACAUUACCCCCACAAAAAACACCGGCUAUCUCUCUGUCACCACCCGCGGUAAUACAGAGAGUGCGAGCGUUAAUCUCAAUUACUGUGCGUAAAACGCACACACGCGCUCUGUGAAAUCACAUAUGAAAUCCCCGGGCUUUACCUGAACUGCAUUUGAAACUGGGAGGCUUGAGUCUUGUAGAGGGGGGUAGAAUUCCAGGUGUAGCGGUGAAAUGCGUAGAGAUCUGGAGGAAUACCGGUGGCGAAGGCGGCCCCCUGGACAAAGACUGACGCUCAGGUGCGAAAGCGUGG
rnacentral:rRNA from 1 species